ensembl:snoRNA LOC120093464 small nucleolar RNA SNORA17
CCUGCCCCUGGAAGCAUUGUAAGUGUGGCUGCUGUGUCACAUGUGCCUCAGGAGGUGGCAGAGAGGAGAGAGGUGUUCUGACCUAUGAAUAGUAUAGUAUCAGAAUGAAUAGUAGCCUAACGUU